GCCAUGAAUCAGUGGUGGAGUGAAUCUUCCUAGACACCCAAGGACAGAGCGAAGACGCUGACUGAUCGUGCUUUUUCCUUCCAAGCUGGCUUGGUCUCUGUCCUCCAGUUCUCUUCCUGGAUUCAGCUUGGAAAACUUGGAAUGGAACUCAUGACCUUGUGCUUGCCAGGAAGAUGCUUAUGCUGCUGAGCUAAAUCCCUGGCCCCUCAUCAAUCUGUUUCAAUGAGCUCUGCAGGUAAAUCUGAUGACCGUGAAAAUUUAAGAACUGUUGCCACAAAGCCACCCACAGUAAAAGUGUCAUGAACUUGCCCUGGAGGGACUCCAACUUGUAAAACCCCUGCCUCAGUUUCCUUCCAGACUGGGAUUACAGAGUUUUUGUAUAAAAUUUCCUGCACACAAGAGGAGAAAUACAGUGUUUGGGACUACUGAGCUGCUUGGGAACAACUGGGAUUCAAGUGAAGCGGCAAUCUUGAAUGACAUCAAGAAAGAUGAGAUUUUGAUCUC